AAAAAGGCAAGACAGACUGGGAGAAAGUUUUUGCAAAAAAUAUAUCUGAUAAAGAACUUGUAUCCAGAAUAAAGAAAGCACUCUCACAAGUCAAUAGUAAGAAAUCAAUGCAACACAAUGAAAAUGAGCAAAAGAUUUGAACAGACAUUCCACCAAAGAAGACAUGGCAAAUAAACACAUGGAAAGAUGCUGAACAUCAUUAGUCAUUAGGGAAACGCAAAUUAAAACCACAAGGAGAUAUCACUACAUAUGCACUCGAAUGAUCAAAAUUAAAAAGACCAACAAUAACAGGCACUGGCCAAUUGUGGAGCAACUGGAACUCUCAUUCACUAGAAAUGCAAGAUGACACCGCCACUUUGGGAAAGACUUUGGCGAUUUCUUAUGUAGUGAAAUAUACACUGACUGCGUGUGACUCAGCAAUUUAUCUGCUAGCUAUAUUCCCAGGAGAAAUGAGAACGUACAUCCACACAAAGACUUGUAUUUAAAUGCUCAUAGUAGCAUUCUGUUAUAUUAAGGGAAACUGGAAAUAACUGAAAUACCCAUCAAGUGAUGAAUGGGUAAACAAAUUGUGAUCUAUACAUACACUGGAAUAUUACUCAGUUCUAAAAAGAGCUGAAGUACUGAAGUACUUUAUGCAUGCAACCAUAUGAUGUGUUGAUGAGUGCAAUAAUGUGGAUGAAUCUCAAAGAAAAUGCCAUGUGAAAGAAGCCAACCACAAAGGCUACAUUCUGAAUGACUGCAAAAUGCAAAACUCUGGACAAGGCAAAACAAUAGUGAUAGAAGACACAUCAGAGAUUCCCAACAGCCAUGGGGCCUGGAUGGGGGAGAUUAAUGGCAAACAGUUGGUGAAUUUUUGUUGAUUGAAGAAAAUACAAUGUGGAGAGAGAAAACAUGUUUGUGUGAAACAAACAAUGCAAGGUAGAGUCAGAGAGAAUGCCUGAACCAGAGCUGUAGACUGAGCACUAUAGAAGAUAAAAAAUGGGACCCGGAGCCCCCAACUCUGCGUGAGAUGAUCCAACAAAGGCGGGAGAAAGAAGACCCACGUGGGUGGGCAUUGAGCGCUUGGUAGGAUUGGCAAAGGAGGAGGGGAAAGGGCAGGGGCUCAGCCUGUGGGCAGAACCCUGGGGAAUGCCAACUUCUACAGGUCGGGCAGGGCAGCGGUUCCAGCCCUGGUGGUUUUGGUCAGCAUCUUUACAGUAAGCCGUGGGGAAGUGUGGAGUUGCUCGAGUGUGGCAGUGCUUUUGGCCUUGAGCCCCACACGCAGGUCACUUUCAUCAGAACAGGAAAACGAAACAGGCUCCCCUGAAUGAUUUAUGGGAGGGCUUGUGUUUUGGGGAUGUGAUACUGCAAUUUGUGUUAUAGGACCAAGACAUCUGUUUCCAGGGAGGUGCGUUCUCUUACCAUGAGCCUUUCCCACAAGGGAUCUUUUGCCCCGAUGGAGUCUUUCUCUGCUGCUCAGGCUGGAGUGCACAUGACAGACCCCUACAACAAGGAAUCCUGCUGCCCAAAAUGUCAACAGUGCAACCUCCACUCACUGCAACCUCUGCCUCCUGGGUUCAAGUGAUUCUCCUGCCUUAGCCUCCCCAGUAGCUGGGAUUACAGGCACCUGAGACGUCGUCAUCUCAAAUGUGGUUGUUCAGCCUCAAAGCUGAGCAAGUACAGCCUUUAGUGUGGGCAACAGUCUUUAGUGGCUGGUCAAUUUUUGUAUUUUUAGUAGAGAUGGGGUUUCACCAUGUUGGCCUGGCGGGUCUCGAACUCUGACUUCAAGUGAUCUGUCUGCUUCGGCCUCCCACAGCACUAGGAUUACAGACAUAAGCCAACACGCCUGGCCCCCCAACCUUAAUUAGAAAGUAGAAGUAAAGUGAAAUGAAUGUAGUUUCUAUCUUAUUUGUCAUGUGUAAACCAAGAUUUUUCCUGGGAGCAGAGGAGAGGAUGAAUUCAGAGUUACUGUGGAAGAGGUGGCCAUCUCCUUUCCAUACUAUAAAGUUGCCACUGGGGAGGAGUUGCCCAGCCAGGGACUCCAUUUCUUGGUCCUUUUCUUACAUCUGAGCAGAGACACAACAAUUCCUCAUCAGGGGAAUGUGAGUGAAAGUGGAGUGUACCUCUUCCAGGCCAACACUCUUCUAUAUCCUUUCCGUCUUUCACCAACCCUAGGGAGUGAAGCUUCCGUGCAUGGCAGAGCCUCACGACAGAAGGAGCCUGGCCCCUUGAAAGACUGUGUGGAGAGAACUGCUCACAGACUGGAGCACUGCCCAAGAUGUUACACGAGUGCCGGAUUGAUGGGACCUCAAAUGUGUAAAGUCUUGCACAGGAAAUCCCCCAGCAUGGCCAUUCAGAGGCUCUCAACUCCUGCUGGACCCAAACACAAGAAACUAGGAGGCCCAGACCCCGUCUCUCAUUUUGCACCUCAGGAAACAGUACCUGAAAGAGAACUCCAUUUUCUUUUCUUAACGUUCUUCAGCUAAAACAAGAGGGUGUAGGGAAGGGGCUAUUUGGAAAAGAAAUUCUCUAAAUUGCCUGUAAAACUGAGCACAACCCAAGAACCAAAUAUUUUGAAACAAGCAUAUUUAGGAAGUUUGAGGACGCUUUAAAAUAUCUCCAGAAGGUUUGUGUUUACCCCAGCACAAUGUCUGUCUUGUGACCCAAAGCUUUAUCUUCCAAACCUUAUUUGAGCAACUUCAUCAAUAAAAACAUUUUAGAGAAUGCACAUCUAACACAUAUAUACUUAUUAUAACUUUCAUACACAUACUUUUGUACUAAUAUGUUUUGUAUUUUUAAAAAAUAUAUCUAAACACAAAUUUAAAAAUGGAUACAGAUGAAAUAAAUCUUUAAA